ACCUGCGGAAGGAUCAUUAACGAGUUUUGAAAGCGGGGGGAGGAGUCUGUUGCUGGCGUGUGAGGGGGAGGUUUCYUCUUCUUCGCAUGCAUGUGCACGGCACCCCUCGUUACUCAAUCCACUCAACCCCUGUGCACUUUAUGGGAGCUAGUAGUCAGUGGUUGUUCUGUUACGUUGUGUUCUUAGGUUAGUAGUCGAAAGGCGAACACUUGAGAGACGUAUGGAGUAAUUGCCGGCGAACACUUCAAUAUUAUUACAAACCCAUUCUAUUGUCAUGUUGAAUGUAUAGCUCCUUGUGGGCGAAAUAAAAUACAACUUUCAACAACGGAUCUCUUGGCUCUCGCAUCGAUGAAGAACGCAGCGAAAUGCGAUAAGUAAUGUGAAUUGCAGAAUUCAGUGAAUCAUCGAAUCUUUGAACGCACCUUGCGCCCUUUGGUAUUCCGAGGGGCAUGCCUGUUUGAGUGUCAUGUUCAUCUCAACUUCCUUGUUUAUUACACUUGGAUGUUGGACUUGGAGGUAUUGCUGGCCCCUGCUCUAAGUCGUGGUCGGCUCCUCUUAAAUGUAUUAGCUGGGCUUUGGCUCGCGUUGACGGUGUAAUAAG
rnacentral:rRNA from 1 species